rnacentral:rRNA from 1 species
GACGUACGCUGGCGGCGUGCCUAACACAUGCAAGUCGAGCGAUUUACUUCGGUAAAGAGCGGCGGACGGGUGAGUAACGCGUGGGUAACCUGCCCUGUACACACGGAUAACAUACCGAAAGGUAUGCUAAUACGGGAUAAUAUGCUUUAGUCGCAUGGCUAAAGUAUCAAAGCUCCGGCGGUACAGGAUGGACCCGCGUCUGAUUAGCUAGUUGGUAAGGUAACGGCUUACCAAGGCGACGAUCAGUAGCCGACCUGAGAGGGUGAUCGGCCACAUUGGAACUGAGACACGGUCCAAACUCCUACGGGAGGCAGCAGUGGGGAAUAUUGCACAAUGGGCGAAAGCCUGAUGCAGCAACGCCGCGUGAGCGAUGAAGGCCUUCGGGUCGUAAAGCUCUGUCUUCAAGGAAGAUAAUGACGGUACUUGAGGAGGAAGCCCCGGCUAACUACGUGCCAGCAGCCGCGGUAA